rnacentral:rRNA from 1 species
GACGAACGCUGGCGGCGUGCUUAACACAUGCAAGUCGAACGGAAAGGCCCUGCUUUUGUGGGGUGCUCGAGUGGCGAACGGGUGAGUAACACGUGAGUAACCUGCCCUUGACUUUGGGAUAACUUCAGGAAACUGGGGCUAAUACCGGAUAGGAGCUCCUGCUGCAUGGUGGGGGUUGGAAAGUUUCGGCGGUUGGGGAUGGACUGGCGGCUUAUCAGCUUGUUGGUGGGGUAGUGGCUUACCAAGGCUUUGACGGGUAGCCGGCCUGAGAGGGUGACCGGCCAAAUUGGGACUGAGAUGCGGCACAGACUCCUACGGGAGGCAGCAGUGGGGAAUAUUGCACAAUGGGAGGAAGCCUGAUGCAGCAACGCCGCGUGCGGGAUGACGGCCUUCGGGCUGUAAACCGCUUUCGCCUGUGACGAAGCGUGAGUGACGGUAAUGGGUAAAGAAGCACCGGCUAACUACGUG